rnacentral:rRNA from 1 species
CGCGGGGCAACCUGGCGGCGAGCGGCGAACGGGUGAGUAAUGCAUCGGAACGUGUCCAUGUCGUGGGGGAUAGCCCGGCGAAAGCCGGAUUAAUACCGCAUACGCCCGAGAGGGGAAAGUGGGGGACCGCAAGGCCUCACGCGAUUGGUUCGGCCGAUGUCCGAUUAGCUAGUUGGCGGGGUAAAGGCCCACCAAGGCGACGAUCGGUAGCUGGUCUGAGAGGAUGAUCAGCCACACUGGGACUGAGACACGGCCCAGACUCCUACGGGAGGCAGCAGUGGGGAAUUUUGGACAAUGGGGGCAACCCUGAUCCAGCCAUUCCGCGUGAGUGAAGAAGGCCUUCGGGUUGUAAAGCUCUUUUGUCCGGAACGAAACGGUGGACGUGAAUAUCGUCCACUACUGACGGUACCGGAAGAAUAAGCACCGGCUAACUACGUGCCAGCAGCCGCGGUAAUACGUAGGGUGCGAGCGUUAAUCGGAAUUACUGGGCGUAAAGCGUGCGCAGGCGGUUUUGUAAGCCAGAUGUGAAAUCCCCGGGCUUAACCUGGGAAUGGCAUUUGGGACUGCAAGGCUCGAGUGCGGCAGAGGAGACUGGAAUUCCUGGUGUAGCAGUGAAAUGCGUAGAUAUCAGGAGGAACACCGAUGGCGAAGGCAGGUCUCUGGGCUG